rfam:Clostridium kluyveri DSM 555, complete genome.
GGUCAAGCUACAAAGGGCGCAUGGAGGAUGCCUUGGCACCAGGAGCCGAAGAAGGACGUGAUAAGCUGCGAAAAGCUCUGGGUAGGCGCAAAUAGCCAGAGAACCAGAGAUGUCCGAAUGGGGAAACCCACCUAUAAAACAAUAGGUACUGCAUGCUGAAUAUAUAGGUAUGCAGGGGAAAACCCGGGGAACUGAAACAUCUAAGUACCCGGAGGAAGAGAAAGAAAAAUCGAUUUUCUAAGUAGCGGCGAGCGAAAGGGAAAGAGCCCAAACCGGAAACUUGUUUCCGGGGUAGAGGUCAGGUGAUAAAAAAUGUGGAAGCUUAAGUGAAUUCAACUGGAAAGUUGAGCCGCAGAAGGUAAAAGCCCUGUAAGUGAAAAGCAGAAGCAAAAUAACCUGUACCGGAGUACCACGAGACACGAGAAACCUUGUGGGAAGCAGGGAGGACCACCUCCCAAGGCUAAAUACUACCUGGUGACCGAUAGAGGAGGAGUACCGUGAGGGAAAGGUGAAAAGAACCCCGGGAGGGGAGUGAAAUAGAACCUGAAACCGUGUGUCCACAAACAGUCGAAGUACGUUAAAGUACGACGGCGUGCUUUUUGUAGAACGAGCCAGCGAGUUACGGUAUGCAGCAAGGUUAAGUACUUAAGGUACGGAGCCGAAGGGAAACCGAGUCUGAAAAGGGCGGGGAGUUGUAUGCCGUAGACCCGAAACCGGGUGACCUAUCCAUGGCCAGGUUGAAGCGGAAGUAAAAUUUCGUGGAGGACCGAACCACGUUGGUGUUGAAAAACCAUGGGAUGAGCUGUGGAUAGCGGAGAAAUUCCAAUCGAACUCGGAGAUAGCUGGUUCUCCUCGAAAUAGCUUUAGGGCUAGCGUCGGGAGUGAGUAAUGGAGGUAGAGCACUGACUGGGGUAGGGGCUGACAACAGUUACCGAACCUUAUCAAACUCCGAAUGCCAUAUACUUGAAUCCCGGCAGUCAGACUGCGAAUGAUAAGAUCCGUAGUCAAAAGGGAAAAAGCCCAGAUCAACAGCUAAGGUCCCGAAGUGUAAGUUAAGUGGAAAAGGAUGUGUGAUUUCGAAGACAACUAGGAUGUUGGCUUAGAAGCAGCCAUACAUUUAAAGAGUGCGUAAUAGCUCACUAGUCAAGAGGUCAUGCGCCGAAGAUGUCCGGGGCUAAAACUUACCACCGAAGCUAUGGGCCUGAAAGGGCGGUAGGGGAGCAUGCUGCACAGGGAGAAGCCAUACCGGAAGGAAUGGUGGACAGUGCAGGAGAGAGAAUGCUGGCAUAAGUAGCGAGAAAUAAGUGAGAAUCUUAUUGGUCGAAAACCUAAGGUUUCCUGGGGAAGGUUCGUCCGCCCAGGGUAAGUCGGGACCUAAGCCGAGGCCGAAAGGCGUAGGCGAUGGACAACCGGUUGAGAUUCCGGUACCACAUUUUUGCGAAAAAGAACAGAAGGGAUGACGCAGAAGGAUAGGAUGUGCACACGAAUGGAUAGUGUGUCCAAGGAGUGAGGGAGGACAUAAAGGAAAAGCCGUAUGUCCGAUAAUCCUGGGCUUUGAAGGGGAGUCCGCAAGGACGAGUAUCUGAUUUCACACUGCCAAGAAAAGUCUCUAUGGAGCAGGGAUGUGCCCGUACCGCAAACCGACACAGGUAGGUGAGGAGAGAAUCCUAAGACCAUCGGAAGAAUUGUUGUUAAGGAACUCGGCAAAUUGACUCCGUAACUUAGGGAAAAGGAGUGCCUCGAAAGAGGCCGCAGAGAAAAGGCCCAAGCAACUGUUUAUCAAAAACACAGGUCUCUGCUAAAGCGAAAGCUGAAGUAUAGGGGCUGACGCCUGCCCGGUGCUGGAAGGUUAAGGGGACUGCUUAGCGCAAGCGAAGGCAAGAACUUAAGCCCCAGUAAACGGCGGCCGUAACUAUAACGGUCCUAAGGUAGCGAAAUUCCUUGUCGGGUAAGUUCCGACCCGCACGAAUGGCGUAAUGAUUUGGGCACUGUCUCAACAACAAAUUCGGCGAAAUUGAAGUGCAAGUGAAGAUGCUUGCUACCCGCGAUUGGACGGAAAGACCCCGUAGAGCUUUACUGCAGUUUAUCACUGAAUUUUGGUAUUGCCUGUACAGGAUAGGUGGGAGGCAGAGAAGGAAGUGCGCCAGCAUUUCUGGAGUCAACGUUGGGAUACCACCCUGGCAGUACUGGAAUUCUAACCGGAGUGCAUGAAACUGGACACGGGACAAUGAUAGGCGGGCAGUUUGACUGGGGCGGUCGCCUCCAAAAGAGUAACGGAGGCGUACAAAGGUUCCCUCAGAAGGGUUGGAAAUUCUUCGUAGAGUGCAAAGGCAGAAGGGAGCUUGACUGUGACACACACAGGUGGAGCAGGGACGAAAGUCGGGCUUAGUGAUCCGGUGGUACCUCGUGGGAGGGCCAUCGCUCAACGGAUAAAAGCUACCUCGGGGAUAACAGGCUAAUCUCCCCCAAGAGUUCACAUCGACGGGGAGGUUUGGCACCUCGAUGUCGGCUCGUCGCAUCCUGGGGCUGGAGUAGGUCCCAAGGGUUGGGCUGUUCGCCCAUUAAAGCGGCACGCGAGCUGGGUUCAGAACGUCGUGAGACAGUUCGGUCCCUAUCCGUCGCGGGCGUAGGAAAUUUGAGGGGAGCUGUCCCUAGUACGAGAGGACCGGGAUGGACUGACCGCUGGUGAACCAGUUGUUCCGCCAGGAGCACAGCUGGGUAGCUAAGUCGGGAAGGGAUAAACGCUGAAAGCAUCUAAGUGUGAAGCCCACCCCAAGACAAGAUUUCCCAUGGCGAAAGCCAGUAAGACCCCUCCGAGAAGAGGAGGAGAUAGGUCAGGGGUGUAAGCAUGGCAACAUGUUAAGCUGACUGAUACUAAUAGGUCGAGGGCUUGACCAA